AACGAACGCUGGCGGCAUGCCUAACACAUGCAAGUCGAACGAGACCUUCGGGUCUAGUGGCGCAAGGGUGAGUAACGCGUGGGAACCUGCCCUUAGGUUCGGAAUAACUCCCCGAAAGGGGUGCUAAUACCGGAUAAUGUCUUCGGACCAAAGAUUUAUCGCCUUUGGAUGGGCCCGCGUUGGAUUAGCUAGUUGGUAGGGUAAAAGCCUACCAAGGCGACGAUCCAUAGCUGGUCUGAGAGGAUGAUCAGCCACACUGGGACUGAGACACGGCCCAGACUCCUACGGGAGGCAGCAGUGGGGAAUAUUGGACAAUGGGCGAAAGCCUGAUCCAGCAAUGCCGCGUGAGUGAUGAAGGCCUUAGGGUUGUAAAGCUCUUUUACCCGGGAUGAUAAUGACAGUACCGGGAGAAUAAGCUCCGGCUAACUCCGUG
rnacentral:rRNA from 1 species